GAAGCCCAGACUGAAGUCCAGACUGAAGCCCAGAUUGAAGCCCAGACUAAAGCCCAGACUCAAGGCCAGACUGAAGCCCAGACUGAAGCCCAGACUGAAGUCCAGACUGAAGUCCAGACUGAAGCCCAGACUCAAGGCCAGACUGAAGCCCAGACUGAAGCCCAGACUGAAGCCCAGACUAAAGCCCAGACUAAAGCUAAAAGACUUGACCUGAAUCUGGUCUUGGCUGCUCUGUCACUCUUGCCCUCUCCCUUCUCAGAGCCGCUCAUCAUUGGGUGAGCUCAACACCAGCCAGCACUCUGAUAGGAGUUCGUCCAGAAUGGACAGGGGCUCACACAAUCAGGGCUCAGAGACUGACAAUGUUGUGUUUUCAUUGGCCGGUUUCUUCUGUUCCACACCAAAGCAUUCCCCAGUCAGAAACCUGCAUUUCUCACCCUCACAGUUUCUCAACCAAUCGGCGAGCCCGGAAAGCUCAGACAGCAACAGCCUACCAAUGAGCUCCCAGAAACCCCUGCUGGCCACGCCUCUCCACCGAGACCACACCCCCCGACCCCAGAAAAAGAAUGACAUGUAAUUUUCCAUCUCUCUGUGCCUCUUGUUUUGACUCUUAUCUUCUUAUUAACACACCUGUAACAGUAACAUGUCACUNNNNNNNNNNACAUGUCACCCAUUGAGCAUGUUUGGGAUGCUCUGGAUAGACAUGUCACCCAUUGAGCAUGUUUGGGAUGCUCUGGAUUGACGUGUACGACAGAGUGUUCCAGUUCCCGACAAUAUCCAGCAACUUCACACAGCCAUUGAAGAGGAGUGGGACAACAUUCCACAGGCCAUGAGGCAAAUGAUCAGACCAGAUACUGACUGGUUUUCUGAUCCACAACUCCUACCUUUUUAUGACGAUAUCUAUGACCAACAUAUAUCUGUAUUCCCAGUCAUGUGAAAUCCAUAGAUUAGGGCUUAAUGAAUGUAUUUCAAUUGACUGAUUUCCUUAUAUGGACUGUAACUCGGCAAAAAACAACUAUAUAUUUGUGUUCAGUGUAAAUAGAUCCCGAUAGUUACCCCCCUCCAAAAAUAAAAUACAUCUAAAUAUAUAUAUUUAUGUUUUGUAUUAUUAUUAUUGGGCCGCCGGUUGCCAAUCUCUGGUUUAGACUGAAGCCCAGACUGAAGCCCAGACUGAA
rnacentral:lncRNA from 13 species